rnacentral:ncRNA from 1 species
UAGAGGUAUGAGGAUUGCCUCACUAACCCCAAGGUGAGGCUGCCAACCGAGCACAUGCCACGGUGGCCGAAUCUUAAUGAGAUUCCAUACGUUGGAUUAACCAGAAAAAGGAGCCCUGUGCU